rnacentral:rRNA from 1 species
ACUGCUCAGUAACACGUAGAUAAUCUAACCUUAGGUGGAGGAUAAUCUCGGGAAACUGAGAAUAAUACUCCAUAGAUCUAGGAUGUUGGAAUACACUUAGAUCGAAAGCUCCGGCGCCUAAGGAUGAAUCUGCGGACUAUCAGGUAGUAGUCAGGGUAACGACCUGACUAGCCUACGACGGAUACGGGUUGUGAGAGCAAUAACCCGGAGAUGAUAUCUGAGACACGAUAUCAGGCCCUACGGGGCGCAGCAGGCGCGAAAACUUCGCAAUGUGCGAAAGCACGACGAGGGAAUCCCAAGUGCUAGCUCGUAAGAGUUAGCUGUUUCUAUGUCUAAAAAGCAUAGAGAGUAAGGGCUGGGUAAGACGGGUGCCAGCCGCCGCGGUAAUACCUGCAGCUCAAGUGGUGGCCGCUAUUAUUGGGCCUAAAACGUCCGUAGCCGGUUUGUUAAAUGCCUAGGUAAAUCGUAUAGCUUAACUAUACGAAUUCUGGGUAGACUGGUAAACUUGAGACCGGGCGAGGCUAGAGGUACUCCUGGGGUAGAGGUGAAAUUCUGUAAUCCUAGGGGGACCACCAGUGGCGAAGGCGUCUAGCUAGAACGGGUCUGACGGUGAGGGACGAAGCCCUGGGGCGCAAACGGGAUUAGAUACCCCGGUAGUCCAGGGUGUAAACGCUGCUUGCUUGAUGUUAGUUGGGCUUCGGGCCCAAUUAGUGUCGGAGAGAAGUUGUUAAGCAAGCUGCCUGGGAAGUACGGCCGCAAGGCUGAAACUUAAAGGAAUUGGCGGGGGAGCAC